rnacentral:rRNA from 1 species
CGGCAAGCCUGAUGCAGCGACGCCGCGUGCGGGAUGACGGCCUUCGGGUUGUAAACCGCUUUCAGCAGGGACGAAGCGACAGUGACGGUACCUGCAGAAGAAGCCCCGGCCAACUACGUGCCAGCAGCCGCGGUAAUACGUAGGGGGCGAGCGUUGUCCGGAUUUAUUGGGCGUAAAGAGCUCGUAGGUGGCUGUUCAAGUCGGGUGUGAAAUCCCAAGGCUCAACCUUGGGUCUGCAUUCGAUACUGGGUGGCUUGAGUCUGGUAGGGGGACCUGGAAUUCCUGGUGUAGCGGUGGAAUGCGCAGAUAUCAGGAGGAACACCGGUGGCGAAGGCGGGGUCCUGGGCCAGUACUGACGCUGAGGAGCGAAAGCGUGGGGAGCAAACAGGAUUAGAUACCCUGGUAGUCCACGCUGUAAACGAUGGGUGCUAGGUGUGGGGGGUUAUCGACUCCUUCCGUGCCGCAGCUAACGCAGUAAGCACCCCGCCUGGGGAGUACGGCCGCAAGGCUA